CCCUUAGAUGUUCUGGGCCGCACGCGUGCUACACUGAUGCAUUCAACGAGUCUAAAACCUGGUCUGAUAGGGCUGGGUAAUCUUUUGAAAGUGCAUCGUGAUUGGGAUAGAUGAUUGCAAUUCUUCAUCUUCAACGAGGAAUGCCUAGUAAACGCAAGUCAUCAGCUUGCAUUGAUUACGUCCCUGCCCUUUGUACACACCGCCCGUCGCUCCUACCGAUUGAAUGAUCCGAUGAAUACCAUGGAUUGAGAGUACGAAUAGGUUCGCUUAUUUCUGCUUCCCGAGAAGUGGAGUAAAUCUUAUCAUUUAGAGGAAGGAGAAGUCGUAACA
rnacentral:rRNA from 1 species